GCAAACUUGGUCAUUUAGAGGAAGUAAAAGUCGUAACAAGGUCUCCGUUGGUGAACCAGCGGAGGGAUCAUUACAGAGUUGCAAAACUCCCAAAAACCCCUGUGAACAUACCUAUGUUGUUGCUUCGGCAGGCAGCCCCAGGGCGGGGUCAUGGCCUGAAAAAGGAGCCUGCCGGAGCGCCUAAACUCUUCUGUAUUUUUAAUGGCAUCAGUUAAAAAAUUUGCGAAAAAUAGGUCAAAAACUUUCAACAACGGAUCUCUUGGUUCUGGCAUCGAUGAAGAACGCAGC
rnacentral:misc_RNA from 1 species